GUAGGGAAUAUUGGUCAAUGGAUGCAAGUCUGAACCAGCCAUGCCGCGUGCAGGAAGACGGCCCUAUGGGUUGUAAACUGCUUUUGCCAGGGGAUAAAACAGCUCUGCGGAGCAAAUUGAAGGUACCUGGUGAAUAAGCCACGGCUAACUACGUGCCAGCAGCCGCGGUAAUACGUAGGUGGCAAGCGUUGUCCGGAUUUAUUGGGUUUAAAGGGUGCGUAGGCGGCCUUAUAAGUCAGUGCUGAAAUAUCCCGGCUUAACCGGGAGGGUGGCAUUGAUACUGUAGGGCUUGAGUAAAGUUGAGGUAGGCGGAAUUGACGGUGUAGCGGUGAAAUGCUUAGAUAUCGUCAAGAACACCGAUAGCGAAGGCAGCUUACUAAACUUUAACUGACGCUGAGGCACGAAAGUGUGGGGAUCAAACAGGAUUAGAAACCCGAGUAGUCC
rnacentral:rRNA from 1 species